GCGGUUGACCAGGUGGUGUUGAUGCCCCUGAAUCAACCGUCGACUCUCAUCAACUAAGCUCGAAGCGCGCCCUUCGCCUAGAGACGAAAAUCCCAAGGGGAUAGGCGUCAACGAUCCCUGUCUGUCGGGGAGUUGACGAUGAAAACUAAAGACAGACUAAGCAUGUAGGUCUUUGGCGCGGAUGGUUGUCGGACGCGGGUUCGAUUCCCGCCAGCUCCACCA
rnacentral:tmRNA from 1 species